CCCUUAGAUGUUCUGGGCCGCACGCGCGCUACACUGAAGGGAUCAGCGUGUUUUCCCUUCCCGAGAGGGACGGGUAACCCGCUGAACCCCCUUCGUGGUAGGGAUCGGAGCUUGCAAUUGUUCUCCGUGAACCAGGAAUUCCCAGUAAGCGCAAGUCAUAAGCUUGCGUUGAUUACGUCCCUGCCCUUUGUACACACCGCCCGUCGCUACUACCGAUUGAACGUUUAGUGAGGUAUUUGGACUGGGCCUUGGGAGGUUUCGGCCUCCCUUGUUGCUCGGAAAGACUCCCAAACUUGAGCGUUUAGAGGAAGUAAAAGUCGUAACA
rnacentral:rRNA from 1 species